CGGGUUUUCCAAUCUCUGUGUAGCUAGCAGUUCUCUUCGUGUUAGUGUGGCAACCGUGCCAGUUCCACAUUUGUGAUUGCUUUAUUUCCCUGGUAAUUAAACCUUGUGCCAUUCUAUUCCUGUUAAAUCCGUAGAAAAUGAGAAAAUACUCGACAUUUUGGGGGAAACUUGUAAAUCUGAGCCAGUAAAAGAAGAAAGUUCCGAGCUGGAGCAGCCAUUUGCACAGGACACAAGUAGCGUGGGGCCAGACAGAAAGCUUGCGGAGGAAGAGGACCUAUUUGACAGCGCCCAUCCGGAAGAGGGUGAUUUAGAUUUGGCCAGCGAGUCAACAGCACACGCUCAGUCGAGCAAGGCAGACAGCCUGUUAGCGGUAGUGAAAAGGGAGCCCGCGGAGCAGCCAGGCGAUGGCGAGAGGACGGACUGUGAGCCUGUAGGGCUAGAGCCGGCAGUUGAGCAGAGUAGUGCGGCCUCCGAGCUCGCGGAGGCCUCUAGCGAGGAGCUCGCGGAAGCACCCACGGAAGCCCCAAGCCCAGAAGCCAGAGAUAGCAAAGAAGACGGGAGGAAGUUUGAUUUUGACGCUUGUAAUGAAGUCCCUCCGGCUCCUAAAGAGUCCUCAACCAGUGAGGGCGCUGAUCAGAAAAUGAGUUCUCCCGAAGAUGACUCGGAUACAAAAAGGCUUUCCAAAGAGGAAAAGGGUCGCAGCAGUUGUGGUAGAAAUUUCUGGGUUAGUGGACUCUCUUCUACAACCAGAGCUACAGAUUUGAAGAAUCUUUUCAGCAAAUAUGGGAAGGUGGUGGGCGCCAAGGUUGUGACAAAUGCCCGGAGUCCUGGAGCUCGCUGUUACGGUUUUGUCACGAUGUCCACAGCAGAAGAGGCCACAAAAUGCAUUAACCACCUGCACAAGACGGAGCUCCACGGAAAGAUGAUCUCUGUGGAGAAA
rnacentral:sRNA from 1 species